rnacentral:rRNA from 1 species
GGUUGCGAUCAUACCAGCACUAAUGCACCGGAUCCCAUCAGACCUCCGCAGUUAAGCGUGCUUGGGCGAGAGUAGUACUAGGAUGGGUGACCCCCUGGGAAGUCCUCGUGUUGCAACCCC